rnacentral:lncRNA from 1 species
AACUGGGGUUAGGUCCGCGGUAGGAGCCGCGCGUCAGGCUCCGCCGCCAGCCGGGGCUCGGGCUGGGGCCCGGGCCCCCGGGGAUGGCCCUCCGGCCCUCAGAGGGCGACGGCUCCGCCGGCCGCUGGAACCGCGGCUCAGGGAAGGCAGGUACGGAGGACUGGGCUGGGACGACGAGUGAGUGAGGGCCGCGGAGCGGCCGGGACCUGAGGGGGGCGGCGGCGGCGGAUGAGGAAGAGCCGGGCCUCGCCCAGGCCGCCGCCAGCCACGUCCGCAGAACCGACCGCCCGCGCUGGGCCGCUGCCCGAGCUCCGGCCUUCACUCUGCACUCGUGACCCUAAAAUUCCCCUCUGCACGCGUACACACAAACUCAAGAAAAGUCAUCACUGCCCAGUUCCAGAAACUCCGGUCGGUGAGCUCUCCACCUCACACUUCCUCCCUGUUCAGUUACUUUCUGACCCUUUCCUGGGCCAUCUGUGUUAGUGUUCAGACGUGCACAAAGCAAUGCUGUUUUCCAUACUCUUUCAGUCUAACCCAUUUCUGUGAAAUCUUUGCUUCAUUGUCCACGUGUUCUGGAAUACAUUUUCACUAUGGUGUGCUACUUGGUGAAAAUUCCUGAACCAGGUGAGCUAAUCCAUUUCCUGUCCUCUGACAGGUGAUGAGCAUAUUAGAACUGACCCUGUUGGGGUUGGGGAUUUAGCUCAGUGGUAGAGCGCUUGCCUAGGAAGCACAAGGCCCUGGGUUCGGUCCCCAGCUCCAAAAA